rnacentral:tRNA from 2 species
GGCUACGUAGCUCAGUUGGUUAGAGCACCGCAUUCAUAAUGCGGGUGUCGGCGGUUCAAGUCCGCCCGUAGCUA